ensembl:lncRNA
CAGUCAUCAAACUCGAGUGGCUCUUCCUUUGAAAUGUUUCCAAAACCUGACCCUUUCUCCAGUUUCACCGCUUCCCCUCAUGCCAGCCAGUCCCCCAUGGAAGCAGCCUCCUAAGUCCUGCCCUCUCUUUCAGCUGGUUGGUGAGUAUGACUCAGGCACGUCAGAUGGGACAGCAAGGAUCGGGUUUCCCAGGACCCAAAGCCCUAGCAGCCCCCAGGAGUGCAGAGAGAGUUCAGUGCAGAAAAGCCCUGAAGACCCUGCUGCCCAUGGUGCAAGUGACUUCCUCACCCUGAACAAGGACAGAGGGCUUUCCAGGGCAGCUUCAGUACAGAGAAGGCCACAUUCCAAUUGGCUUGAAGAGGAACAUGCACGUUGAAAGGCAACACUGAGAGCGUUGAGGUCAGGUCAACAGGGGAAGAAAGAUUUCACCAUCAUGGUAAUAUCAAAAGAGUGCCUUAAAAUGAAAAAAUGAUCCUUGUUUACUUUUCUGGAAAGAAAGCUGUUGGAUACUACUGACAAGGAGUGUUAUGCCCGUGACUACAUGAUGUGCCGUUCUUGUCAAGUCAUGAGAAGUGUCCAAAAAAGAGAAAAAGAAACUCUUAAUCAUUUGGAUCUAUCCUAAAACCUCCAAAUGUAACCUAGGAGAUGCAGUUAUUUUGUUUUUUGUUUCUUCAUGUAAUGCCAUUUUGGUAUCCGUCCUCAUUUAUAUAUCGUAAAAAAGCAUUACUCUUUUUUAAUAUUAUAUUAUUACUACAUUUGUAUGGUUCUUAUCAGUUUUUACUGAUCAUUUCUUAGGACAGGAUACCUUGAAUCAAAGAAUGAACAUGUUUAAUGGUGUUUGUUGAAAAAAAAAUGUAUCCAUACCAAUUUUUUGGUACCCUCAGGGCAAAAUAUAUCUCAUUGCAACAUUUCUUGGCUUGAUGCAGGACAGAGGCAGAGACUGCAGGGGAAGUACUCCAUAUGAAAACAUUCUAAAUCAAGGAACUCAAAAAGUCAAGUAGGCACUACUCAAUUGGAGUAAUUAGCAGAAUAGUCCACCUAAUGCUGAAGUGCCAGCAGGUAACCAGAGCAGCAUCUUGAUUAUUUCACUGUUUAAAUGCAUGCAGAACAUGAUAUACUACUACAACCAAAGGGCCCCUGGCAUUUUCUAGGUAGGCUUCCCCCUAACAUUACUGUUCAGUCAUUUUCCCUGAGGUUAAGAUGGCUGGACAGUAUCUCUUUGGAAACAAUAUGAAUUUCAAUAAGGCCAUAAAGGAACACAUUUGAGGAGCUCAGCUGUGCUUGAGUUUCUCAGCUAAAUAAUUUAGAAAAUUUCUUAUUUCUGGUUGACAUCCUCUAAUUGUGUGACAAGGAUGGAUAUGUCAUAGAAGCUGACAGGUAGCAUUCUGAGUCAUCCAUCCCUGGUCCCAGGAUGCUGCCAGGGUAGUUUUUUCUUUUGUGUCAUCACGAUAUUGUGUGUGUGGGAGUGUGUUUUGAGAGUGAGCCAUGAGGUUCCCUGCACAGAAGAGUGACACCAGAAUGCCCUAGCUCAGGCUCCCCCUUAGCCAGGGGAGUUCAGGAUGGUCCAUCCCCAGCAUCACUGUACCUUGCCCUGGCUCCUAGCAGUGGCAGCAGUGGACCAUGGAGAUGGGCAGGAGCCUUUGAUGGCCCAGUGCUCCAGGAAAUACUUCCAGAACCUAUGGCAGCCUGGUCCAGGGCUCCCAGCCUAGCCUUCAGACAAAUGUUUUCAGAACAAUGGCUACUGGUAGCAGAGAACUAGGUUCUCUUAGAAAUUCAGGGUCCAGCAAUUCAUGCUCCUGUUUUCACAUGGUUUACCAGUAGUAUCCACAUCAAGAUGUAGAGUUUGCCAAAUCUCUCUGAAUUCUUUUGCAUGUACAUUGUAUUAUUCCAGAGUAAAACCACUUUUCUCCCUUCAUUAGUGCAAACCACUCUGAGUUGAAAAAGAUGUACUUAAGAAUUGAGGUUGGCAGUCUCAGCGUUAUCUCCUCAUGCAGCCAUGUUCAUGUAGCAUCUCUGGGCCUCUAGCUCCUUACUGGUAAGAUAACAUAUGCUCACCAUGAGAUCUCUAAGUUCCCUCCCAGCUCAAAAUGCAAUGUGAAUGGGGAGUUGAAGUAGCUAAUGUUUCAGUGGUGCUAGAAAGUGAUAAGGAGAUAAACUUAGUUUUUUAGAGCUUAGGUUCUUCAGUUCAACAAUUUAUAGCACAUUUUCUUUUAAGCUGAAAUUCAACUUCAGUUCCACUCAGAAUUUGAACUCUUGAAUAUUCUAUGGGUCAUUCAAAUAGUGACAUUCAACAAAUAAUUAUUCUGUGCCCAUGGUAAACUAAAUCCUG